UACGUAGGGGGCAAGCGUUGUCCGGAAUUAUUGGGCGUAAAGAGCGUGUGAGGCGGUCCGGUAAGUCAGCUGUGAAAGUCGAGGGCUCAACCCUCGAAUGCCGGUGGAUACUGUCGGGCUUGAGUACGGGAGAGGCGAGUGGAAUUCCUGGUGUAGCGGUGAAAUGCGCAGAUAUCAGGAGGAACACCGAUGGCGAAGGCAGCCCCCUGGGCUAACACUGACGCUCAUGCACGAAAGCGUGGGGAGCAAACAGG
rnacentral:rRNA from 1 species